rnacentral:rRNA from 1 species
AACGAACGCUGGCGGCAGGCUUAACACAUGCAAGUCGAGCGCCCCGCAAGGGUAGCGGCAGCCGGGGGAGUAACGCCUGGGAAUCUAGCCAUCUCUACGGAAUAACGCAUGGAACCGUGUGCAAAUAUCGGAUACGUCCGUCGAGAGAGAGAUUUAUCUGAGAAGGCUGGGCCCGCGUUGGAUUAGCUAGUUGGUGGGGUAAAGGCCUACCAAGGCGACGAGCCAUAGCUGGUCUGAGAGGAUGACCAGCCACACUGCGACUGAGAAACGGCCCAAACUCCUACGGGAGGCAGCAGUGCUGAACAUUGGACAAUGGGCGAAAGCCUGAUCCAGUCAUGCCGCGUGAGUGAUGAAGUACCUAGGGUUGUAAAGCUCUUUCGACAGUGAAGAUAAUGACGGUAACCGGAGAAGAAGCCACGGCUAACUUCGUGCCAGCCGCCGCAGUAACAC